CACAUCCUGUUUACCUGUUAUAGUGGUUUCAAUUGAAACACUAUUAAAAUAUUUAGAAAAUAAAUGAAAAAAACCGCCUAAGAGAAAUAUCAAUCACGGAGAUCGAUUGCUCUCCGCCUCCAUCCUCACCUCCUCACCUCCUCGCAUCUCUAUCUCUUUCUUCCUUACCUCACGGAGAUUUCUCUAUGCCUCCAUCCUCACCUCUUUACAUCUCCAUCUCUCUCCUCCUUAUAUCAUCCCCUAUCUCCUCUCGUAUCUCCUCCUCUACUGUCCUUGAUAUUUUAGCGCCUAUGGCAACGGUGUGGCGACGGCGGUGUUGUGGGCGGUGAUGUCGGUGCUUGUGGCACUGUAAUUCCUAGAUUGUGGUUUCGAUUGGGUUUAUUUGGGCUAAGGAUAUGCUUACAUUUUUUGUGAAUGGUUGCUGAAGUUUCCUGAAUACAAAUCUACGGAAUUUUUUCUUACCGGGGAGAGCUACGCAGGUUAUCUUGUAGCUAGCUUGCAUCUAUUUUCAUUUUUAAAGGGUGAAUUGGAUUAUGAUAUAUGUUGUCCAAGUUAACUGGUAUUACUUUUCACUUGAUUUUAUUUAUGAGAGUUAAGACUAUAUAAGGUUGUUGAACCUUGAAGAACUCCGUAGUACGAUGGGGUGAUAUUGUACCAGCAGGAUCCUGCUAAGAAAGAAUCUACAGUGACAAGUGAAACCCUACUCUUUUCUUUUACUCUAGAGGAACUCGUUCAGAGGAUGAAAUGAGUAAGAAUAAGAAGCGUGCCUUCAUUAAUAUAGACUUAGCUUAGUCAUUGGUUUAUUGCUUUUCAUCUGUGAGUAAUAUUUUACAUUUCUCUUCUUGUUCAAUUCUAGCUAAUGCUUUCGACAAUUUGGAAGAGUGUUUUUUGAAAUACAAUCACGAAUGGCCUUUCCUGCUCGGUGCCCAGUUUAGUGCGGCACUGGAUACAAUUGAGGCCUUCCGGCAAAUCAAAUGGGAUGACGAGCUGAGCAUAAAGAUCUUUAAUAGGCGCAACCUGAAUUUGGAACUACAGUCUGCCAGAAUACUCGGUAGCCAUCAAUACCUACAAUGAAAUGCAACUACAUUGUGUUCUCUCUUCUUGCUUCUCCUGUCCUUGUUCAACUGUCCUGCCGAUGUUGUACUUGUCUGCUGCUGUGUUGCUAUGUCAAAGGGGAUGGCUGCUCUUGUUGUUGGUUUCACUACUUUUCAGAUUGUCAGUUUCCAAGUUAUGAAGAGCAGAUUGACGAAGUAAGAAUCGAAUGGGUGCGCCAUGUUGUUCAACAAUUGUAUAAUCACUUGGUUAUGUUGAAGGAACCAACAUACAUAAGACUAUUGAUUAAUGUAUUUUAUGUAGUUUAGUGUUUAGAAUUUUAAUUUGGAUUUAUGUAAUCGGUUUUAUUAUUGUGACAAUGGCAAAAAUGCUUUUAAUUGAGGUUUGAAAAUUAAUUUUGAA